rnacentral:rRNA from 1 species
GACAUAGGUGGCAAACGUUAUCCGGAAUUACUGGGCGUAAAGGGUGCGUAGGUGGUUUGAUAAGUUAGGUGUGAAAGUCCUGGGCUUAACCUGGGGAUUGCGCUUAAGACUGUUGAGCUAGAGUACUGUAGAGGAAGGUGGAAUUUCCGGUGUAGCAGUGAAAUGCGUAGAUAUCGGAAGGAACAUCAGUGGCGAAGGCGACUUUCUGGACAGAUACUGACACUGAGGCACGAAAGCGUGGGGAGCAAACAGG